rnacentral:rRNA from 1 species
GUCGAACGCGAAAGGGGGGCAACCCCCGAGUAGAGUGGCGGACGGGUGAGUAAUACAUCGGAACGUACCCAGUAGUGGGGGACAACCUCGAGAAAUCGAGGCUAAUACCGCAUACGACCCACGGGUGAAAGCGGGGGACCGCAAGGCCUCGCGCUAUUGGAGCGGCCGAUGUCCGAUUAGCUAGUUGGUGGGGUAAGAGCCCACCAAGGCGACGAUCGGUAGCUGGUCUGAGAGGACGACCAGCCACACUGGGACUGAGACACGGCCCAGACUCCUACGGGAGGCAGCAGUGGGGAAUUUUGGACAAUGGGCGCAAGCCUGAUCCAGCCGUGCCGCGUGUGUGAAGAAGGCCUUCGGGUUGUAAAGCACUUUCGGCCGGAACGAAAUCGCGCGGGCGAACAUCCCGCGUGGAUGACGGUACCGGAAGAAGAAGCACCGGCUAACUACGUGCCAGCAGCCGCGGUAAUACGUAGGGUGCGAGCGUUAAUCGGAAUUACUGGGCGUAAAGGGUGCGCAGGCGGCCCCGCAUGUCAGGCGUGAAAUCCCCGGGCUUAACCUGGGAAUGGCGCUUGAAACUACGGGGCUGGA